CUGCAAUUUGGAAUUCUAUUUUUUUUUUUUUACAAAAAGUGUUUUUUGUUUUUGUUUUUUGAAAUUUUAGCAAGCACUUAAGCUGGUUGGACAUAAACUGCUGUUUUUCAGGUGAUAUUUUCUUUUUCUUUUUUCUUUUUAUUUGAGACAGAGUUUCACUCUGUCACCCAGGCUGGAGUGCAGUGAUGCAAUCUUGGCUAACUGCAACAUCCACCUCCUGGGUUCAGAUGAUUCUCGUGCCUCACCCUCACAAGUAGCUGGGAUUACAGACAUGCUAAUUUUUGUAUUUUUAGAAGAAACGAGGUUUCGCCUUAUAGGCCAGACUAGUCUUGAACUCCUGACCUCCAGUGAUCUGCACUCCUCGGCCUCCCAAAGUGCUGGGAUUACAGGCAAGGGCCACUGCGCCUGGCCCAGAUAUUUUCCAUUUUAAUUCAAAUAUUCUGUCUUUAUCUGGGCUUCUUUUUAUUUACUUAUAUUUAUUUAUUUAUUUUGUAGAGAUGGAGUUUCAUCAUGUAGCCCGGGCUGGUCUUGAACUCCUUGGAUCACACAAUUCACCUGCCUCAGCCUUCCAAAGUGCUGGGACUAUAGGCAAGAGGCACCACAACUGGCCUUAUCUGAGCUUCUUAGUAUGUGCUCCAUCCAUGCAUCAUUCAGAGGUUGAGCAUCCCAAAUCUCAAAAGCUCCAAAACCCAAAAUUUUUGGACACUGACUGGACCCUCAAAGGAAAUGGUCAUUGAAGCACUUCAGAUUUCAGAUUCAUCGACUUGGAAUGCUCAACUAAAUAUGUUCACUGGCAUAAUGUUUAAUUAGACUUCGGUGUCAACUUUAAAUCUAAAACCAUCAGCAUCUAAUGAAAUAUCGAAAGCGUUUGGCUUCUGCGUGACAGAUCUCCUGCAAGAAAUCAACUUCCUCUGAUUAAAUCAUUUAAAAAUAAAUAAAUAAUAAAAAUGAGCAACCAAUGAGAAGAAAGCGAACCCAGAUUCACAGAUGAGAUGUUCCUCUGGCCAUCGCUGCAAGAUAGAAGAAAAUAGAGUGGAGGUGACUGUCAAGGAA
rnacentral:lncRNA from 1 species